GCCUGGCUGGCUCAGUCAGUAGAGCAUGUGACUCUUGAUCUCAGGUUGUGAGUUUGAGCCCCACAUUGGGCA
rnacentral:tRNA from 1 species